rnacentral:rRNA from 1 species
UACGUAGGGUGCAAGCGUUGUCCGGAAUUAUUGGGCGUAAAGAGCUCGUAGGCGGUUUGUCGCGUCUGCUGUGAAAACCCGAGGCUCAACCUCGGGCCUGCAGUGGGGUACGGGCAGACUAGAGUGCGGUAGGGGGAGACUGGAAUUCCUGGUGUAGCGGUGAAAUGCGCAGAUAUCAGGAGGAACACCGGUGGCGAAGGCGGGGUCUCUGG